rnacentral:rRNA from 1 species
AACGAACGCUGGCGGCAUGCCUAACACAUGCAAGUCGAACGGGAUCCUAGCUUGCUAGGUGAGAGUGGCGGACGGGUGAGUAACACGUGGGAAUCUGCCUUUUUGGUUCGGGAUAACCGCGGGAAACUGCGGCUAAUACCGAAUGCCCUCGAGAGAGGAAAGAUUUAUCGCCAGAAGAGGAGCCCGCGUCCGAUUAGGUAGUUGGUGGGGUAAAGCCUACCAAGCCGACGAUCGGUAGCUGGUCUGAGAGGAUGAUCAGCCACACUGGGACUGAGAUACGGCCCAGACUCCUACGGGAGGCAGCAGUGGGGG